AGAGUUUGAUCAUGGCUCAGAAUCAACGCUGGCGGCGUGCCUAACACAUGCAAGUCGAACGCGGUUACCCCGCAAGGGGUAACUGAGUGGCGAACGGGUGAGUAACACGUGGGUGACCUACCUUCGAGUGGGGGAUAACGUCCCGAAAGGGACGCUAAUACCGCAUAACAUCCUGCCUUUGAACAGGUGGAGAUCAAAGCCGGGGACCGCAAGGCCCGGCGCUUGAUGAGGGGCCCGCGUCUGAUUAGCUAGUUGGUGGGGUAAUGGCCCACCAAGGCGACGAUCAGUAUCCGGCCUGAGAGGGCGGACGGACACACUGGGACUGAGACACGGCCCAGACUCCUACGGGAGGCAGCAGUGGGGAAUUGUUCGCAAUGGGCGCAAGCCUGACGACGCAACGCCGCGUGGAGGAUGAAGGUCUUCGGAUUGUAAACUCCUGUUGCCCGGGACGAAUAGCUUUGACCUAACACGUCAGAGUCUGACGGUACCGGGUGAGGAAGCCCCGGCUAACUCUGUGCCAGCAGCCGCGGUAAUACAGAGGGGGCAAGCGUUGUUCGGAAUUACUGGGCGUAAAGGGCGCGUAGGCGGCCUGCUAAGUCGAACGUGAAAUCCCCGGGCUCAACCCGGGAACUGCGUCCGAUACUGGCAGGCUUGAAUUCGGGAGAGGGAUGCGGAAUUCCAGGUGUAGCGGUGAAAUGCGUAGAUAUCUGGAGGAACACCGGUGGCGAAGCGGCAUCCUGGACCGAAAUUGACGCUGAGCGCGAAAGCCAGGGGAGCAAACGGGAUUAGAUACCCCGGUAGUCCUGGCCCUAAACGAUGAAUGCUUGGUGUGGCGGGUAUCGAUCCCUGCCGUGCCGAAGCUAACGCAUUAGCAUUCCGCCUGGGGAGUACGGUCGCAAGGCUGAAACUCA
rnacentral:rRNA from 1 species